rnacentral:rRNA from 1 species
UACGUAGGGUGCAAGCGUUGUCCGGAAUUAUUGGGCGUAAAGAGCUUGUAGGCGGUUUGUCGCGUCUGCUGUGAAAUUUCGGGGCUCAACCCCGAACUUGCAGUGGGUACGGGCAGACUAGAGUGUGGUAGGGGAGACUGGAAUUCCUGGUGUAGCGGUGAAAUGCGCAGAUAUCAGGAGGAACACCGGUGGCGAAGGCGGCAUCCUGGACCGACACUGACGCUGAGGAGCGAAGCCAGGGGAGCAAACGGG